CUCGGGAGUGUGUCAAGAGUAAAUAUUCGGCUGAGGUUCCAAAGGCUCAGAGGUCAUUCUUACGGCAGCAGUGAGAGCCUGCACGUCUGUGGACCGGGUGGGUGACUCAGAAUGUGGCUGUUCAGAAGAUGGAGGGAAUUUCCUUCACCAGACCUCUCAAGGAAAACGCUGUGCCUGCUGGAAGGAGG
ensembl:lncRNA